rnacentral:rRNA from 1 species
GAUGAACGCUGGCGGCGUGCCUAAUACAUGCAAGUCGAGCGCCUUCACUGUGUGCUUCUCGUUUACGAGGAACAUAUUGUGAAGGAGCGGCGGACGGCUGAGUAACGCGUGGGAACAUACCCCAAAGUGAGGGAUAAGCACCGGAAACGGUGUCUAAUACCGCAUAUGAUCUUCGGAUUAAAGCCUUCGGGCGCUUUGGGAGUGGCCUGCGUAAGAUUAGCUAGUUGGUGAGGUAAAGGCUCACCAAGGCGACGAUCUUUAGUUGGUCUGAGAGGAUGACCAGCCAGACUGGAACUGAGACACGGUCCAGACUCCUACGGGAGGCAG